AAGGUUCUGCCCCUCGAGGCAUUGCAGGUGUGGCUGCUGUGUCACAUCUGCAUCACUAGGCAGCAGAGAGAAUCGAGGCUAUGUCUAUGCUCAGGGUUCUGACCUGUGAACACCUGAAUGAUUAGUAGCCUGACACGG
ensembl:snoRNA